rnacentral:lncRNA from 1 species
GCAGGCAUUCUGUAUUGAAUUCAGUAGGAUACGAGAAGCUGCUGGUCUUUUCCGGUUGUUGAAGACAUUGGAUACUGGGGAAACACCUUCUGAGACCAAAAUGUCAAAAUAAUACCUCAUCAGAACCAUCCCAUCCAUUCACUGUUCAGCUGUACUGUGAUUUAGUUUUUACACCGUUAAAACCCUGAGUGGAUUGCUUGGUUUAAUGCAUAUAAACAGUACUUUAUCUACUUAAAGCAAAGUUUUGCUUUCUUGAAUGACUUUUUCUGUGAGAUGAAUUUUUGAUAAGAACUAGGGAAAACAUGUCUUUUAGGUGUCUUGCUGAUGACUAUCCAUAGGAGGAAUGGCUAUCCCAAAAAAAGUUCCGCAAAAAAGUAGAUGAGUUUCUUUUUUUUUUAAGCACUAAAGAACAAAAUGCAUUUUUCAUUAAUACAGGCUUCUGAUGAACCAGGAAUCCUGUUUUCGUAAAGUUCCAAUGUUGAUGAGAGUAAAUUCUUAAGCAUUUGUCCUAGAGGUGAAAGCAGCUGAAUGUUUCUGAACCAUCAAGAGGCAAACAAACAGGAGUUUGUUUCUUGAACCUGCUUAUGCACACAGCUCUUAACUCCUCAUGAGGCACACAGCUCUUAACUCCUGAUGAACCAAGGAUUUACUCAUAACUUUCUCCUUGUCAUGGAGGCUUAAUAGACAACAGAAUAAAUGCAUUUCUUGGGCCUCUUAUAAACUUGGGAAUUCUUAGAAAGCUGCUUCUAUUACCAGGCUGUAAUAGCUGGUAUAGUUUUUUUUUUUUCUCUUAAGAUGUUCUGUUAUUAGUCUGAGACAGCCAUUUUUUUGUUUUAAGGAAAAAUAUCAGUCAGUGCUCCGGGAGGUAAUUUCCUGUGGGGUCUGCACCCUCCUGUCUGGGUGGUGGAUGUGGGUUUGAGAAGUAGGAGAGCAGGGUGGUACCGUGUGGGCUCUUACCCUUUAUGUGAUUUUGGACAACAGUGCCUUCCAUUAAAG